rnacentral:lncRNA from 1 species
AGGUGCCCCGGGAAAACUUGGGGGAGAAUGGGCAUCCCACCCCAGCACUUUCUAGGAAGAAGGGCAGCAUUUUGAAGGGCUGGAAGUAGAGGAAGGAGGUUGCGGGUAGAAGACUCCAUACUUUCUGUGACGCCUAUUCCUUAGGUAGGAACUUAGGAACCUCAGGAGAGCCUUUAUAUAACCAAAGAUAUUUUUGGACCAUGAAUUCAGAAAUUCUCGGAGCCACCCAUCAGUGCCUGAGCUUCAGUGAGUCCAUAUCCCAUGUCACCCACGGCAAAGGAGACUCUAAGACUUCUGAAGAGUUUCUUGCUUCUUUCCUGUGGGGCAGUGACUCCACUUCCCAGCAGUAAUGGAAUAUCCUGAAUUAGCUACAUUAAUGUUAGAACCAUUUGGACCUCACCCAGGACUUCAACUACAUUAUGAGUAACUCCUGGACGAUUGGCACAGAAGAAGGCACAAGGCAAAUACCCAUCUCUGUACACCCUGUGCUACUGUGUCAUGUGCUGCUCCAGGCAACUCCAAUGGAUUGGCCACCCUGGCCAAUGUGUUCUAGUAUGUUACGUUUAUGUUCCCCUGCUUUCUACAAUCCUGUUCAAAGAGUUGCUGACUUAACCACAGAGAGGAUUCCAGAACCUGAGACACAGAAUAAACUUGAGCAAUCAUAGUCCAUCCACUUCAUUGUCUCAUCAAAAACCAAAGGUCCAGUGAAGCUCUGGAACUCAACGCUGUAAAGGAGCGAAGGAGC